UGUUUCGAGGAAAGUCGAUGCUCUCCACAAACAUUUUAAUUUAGUCAAAAGUGCAAUUUGCCAUCAAAAUUGAUGGGAAACUUUUGACCAGCGCUAGUCGCUAUUUCGUUGACAUUCCUAAGCUUUGAUAAAACGUAGCAUUAUCACGAGUUCAUAGAUUCAUAUAUUUUUAGGACCACGAGGGACUAUUGUGAGCAUCUAGUCUGAACUCCUGUAUAAUACGGGACAGAAAAUUUCACCUAAUAAUUCUUGCGUCAAGUCCAAUAACUUGUGACUGAGCUAGAGUUCAUCUUCUAGAAAGAGCCAUCCAAUCUUACAUCAAGUGAUAGAGAAUUUACCACAUCCCUUUGUAAGUUGUGCCAGUGGUUAAUUACCUUUAUUGUUAAAAAAUGUGCGUAAUUUCCUAUUUGAAUUUUACUGACUUCAACUGCUGGGCUCUGUUAUUCCUUUUUCUGCUACAGUAAAGUGCCCUCUGGCAUGAGAGACAUUCUCUCAUGUGGAGGCACUUGUAGACUAUGAUCAAGUUCCCUCUUAACCUUCUCUUUGAUUAAGCCAAAUAGCCUGAGUUCCUUGGUUCCAACAGUGGCCGUAGAGUUUGUUACUAUAAAUAUCAACAUGACUUUUAGAAAACGUUCAGCUUCUGCAUUGUUCUUCUAAAUGUGUUCCCGUUUUUGUUUUUUGACACUGCUCGUUUUGAUUGGCCAGGCAAACCACAUGGUGGGUUUUGUUGUUGUUGCUUUUCAAACUAGAACAUUUCCAGUUUCAGCAAUCCACCCACAAGUUCAGUAAACAAACAAACAAACAAAAUCAACCCAUUGCAAAACACGACAGAGUGGAAAAAACACUUCUGAAUUCCUAAGAGUCGUUUUCUAUUUUUCCAUGAGCUGUAGUUACGCCCCUGCUGCCUGGAGUUUUGGAAAAACCAGAAAGACUCAAGCUUGAAGAGAUACAGUCAUGCCUCUUUAAUUACACUUCACUGAUACUUUAUAACUGAAUACAACUGUGGCUAAAGACAGUCCCAGACGCUUGCUGACAAGCACCGGGCUGGGUAGGAAAAGAGUCUGCCUUACCGAAACAGAGCUCAGCAAAUCUCAAACAGAGACUCAGCUACGUGCCCAUUCCUGGCGGUUCUGUUGCAGAGAUGGAUCUGGACCUAAACUAGACCUGUGCCUUCAGCUCCCACCAAGCUUUGGAGUGGUUCGGCUACUGCUUCUGACCUCAUCCCUCUCUCUAACCAAGGGCUCAACCAGAACGCUGAAUCCAACCCAACCCAGCUUCAGAGACAUUUGGAUUCUGGCUCCAAUCUUCAUGACUCACCUCAGACCACUGUGAGAAUAUAUGCUGUCUGCAGGCCAACCGCAUGAUGCUCAGGGUGAUGAAUAUAGGAGCUACUUCCAGAAACAAGGUGACUGACACUUUGUUGUGUGUCUGGUGCCUAAAUACUGCGCUGAUGGCUACUGUAGAAAUGGAGAAAGGCAGCCCAGAGAUUGGGGUUCUGCACUGGACAGGGAUACUCACGUGGUUCAGAACUUUAGCUGACCAAUCAGGUUUCUCCUUUUACCCAGCUUAUUGCACAGAGUGGAGAUCUGCUUUCUGUGUGGCUGACCCGUGCAAACUUGCUUUGCAGAGCUAUCUAUUCUCUGGUGCUCUGAAAUAAAUUACUAAAUGUAAACAAUGCGCAAUAAACCAGGUCCUUCACGGCACAGACCCUUUGCCACCCGGGAUCCACCCUGUGCUAAACCUUUUCAUGGUCGGCAGCCUACAGCGUGAUUUUUUUCCCCUCUCCCGGGGCGGGAUUAGGACCUUUUCCUACCAGGACAGUAGAGAGAGCUGGCAUCACUCCAGCAUGGACACCGCCAUGACACAGUCCUUCCCUGGAAGAUGAAUGGCUGGCCAGUUUUCUUAAUCCAGCCACUUUGGAAAAAUUGUUUGUUCUCAUCCUGUUUGAAACGGCUUCAAAGUGGCUCCAGUCUAGACUGUGCCAAGAUAAAUUACAAACCCAAAGAGCUGAUAUAAACCACAGGGGGAGCGAGUCAUUUGCUUUAAUGUAAUUAAAACAAGCUAUAAUAAUG